GACGAACGCUGGCGGCGUGCCUAACACGUGCAAGUCGAACGGAGUCGGCCCCUUCGGGGACUGACUUAGUGGCGAACGGGUGAGUAACGCGUGAGGAACCUGCCUUUCAGUGGGGGACAACAGUUGGAAACGACUGCUAAUACCGCAUAACACUUUAGUACCGCAUGGUACAGAAGUCAAAGAUUUAUUGCUGAAAGAUGGUCUCGCGUCUGAUUAGCUAGUUGGUGAGGUAACGGCUCACCAAGGCGACGAUCAGUAGCCGGUCUGAGAGGAUGAACGGCCACAUUGGGACUGAGAUACGGCCCAG
rnacentral:rRNA from 1 species